rnacentral:rRNA from 1 species
CCUGGCUCAGGAUGAACGCUGGCGGCGUGCCUAACACAUGCAAGUCGAACGAAGCACUUCUGGUUUGAGAUUCGUCAAGAACCGGAUUUGACUUAGUGGCGGACGGGUGAGUAAUGUAUGAGCAACCUGCCUUUCAGAGGGGGACAACAGUUGGAAACGACUGCUAAUACCGCAUAAUGUACGUUGAAGGCAUCUUCGAUGUACCAAAGGAGCAAUCCGCUGAAAGAUGGGCUCAUAUCUGAUUAGUUAGUUGGCAGGGUAACGGCCUACCAAGACUGCGAUCAGUAGCCGGACUGAGAGGUUGAACGGCCACAUUGGGACUGAGAUACGGCCCAGACUCCUACGGGAGGCAGCAGUGGGGAAUAUUGGGCAAUGGGCGAAAGCCUGACCCAGCAACGCCGCGUGAAGGAAGAAGGUCUUCGGAUUGUAAACUUCUUUUAUGAGGGACGAAGGAAGUGACGGUACCUCAUGAAUAAGCCACGGCUAACUACGUGCC